CCCGGUAAACGGCGGCCGUAACUAUAACGGUCCUAAGGUAGCGAAAUUCCUUGUCGGGUAAGUUCCGACCUGCACGAAUGGCGUAAUGAUGGCCAGGCUGUCUCCACCCGAGACUCAGUGAAAUUGAACUCGCUGUGAAGAUGCAGUGUACCCGCGGCAAGACGGAAAGACCCCGUGAACCUUUACUAUAGCUUGACACUGAACACUGGUCCUUGAUGUGUAGGAUAGGUGGGAGGCUUUGAAGUGUGGACGCCAGUCUGCAUGGAGCCAUCCUUGAAAUACCACCCUUUAAUGG
rnacentral:rRNA from 1 species